AGCAGUGGGGAAUUUUGGACAAUGGGCGGAAGCCUGAUCCAGCCAUGCCGCGUGAGUGAAGAAGGCCUUCGGGUUGUAAAGCUCUUUCGGCGGGGAAGAAAUUGCUUGGGUUAAUACCCUGAGUAGAUGACGGUACCCGAAUAAGAAGCACCGGCUAACUACGUGCCAGCAGCCGCGGUAAUACGUAGGGUGCGAGCGUUAAUCGGAAUUACUGGGCGUAAAGCGUGCGCAGGCGGUUUUGUAAGUCAGAUGUGAAAUCCCCGGGCUCAACCUGGGAACUGCAUUUGAGACUGCAAGACUGGAGUUUGGCAGAGGGGGGUGGAAUUCCACGUGUAGCAGUGAAAUGCGUAGAGAUGUGGAGGAACACCGAUGGCGAAGGCAGCCCCCUGGGCCAAUACUGACGCUCAUGCACGAAAGCGUGGGGAGCAAACAGGAUUAGAUACCCUGGUAGUCCACGCCCUAAACGAUGUCAACUAGGUGUUGGGAGGGUUAAACCUUUUAGUGCCGUAGCUAACGCGUGAAGUUGACCGC
rnacentral:rRNA from 1 species